rnacentral:rRNA from 1 species
AGAGUGAACGCUGGCGGUAGGCCUAACACAUGCAAGUCGAACGGCAGCACAGUAGGAGCUUGCUCUUACGGGUGGCGAGUGGCGGACGGGUGAGGAAUACAUCGGAAUCUACCUUUUGGUGGGGGAUAACGUAGGGAAACUUACGCUAAUACCGCAUACGCCCUUCGGGGGAAAGCCGGGGACCAGCAAUGGCCUGGCGCUGAUAGAUGAGCCGAUGUCGGAUUAGCUAGUUGGUGAGGUAAUGGCUCACCAAGGCGACGAUCCGUAGCUGGUCUGAGAGGAUGAUCAGCCACACUGGAACUGAGACACGGUCCAG